rnacentral:tRNA from 14 species
CUUCUGGUGUGGGGCGGUGGCUUCAACGCCAUUGUGGUGUGGCA